rnacentral:rRNA from 1 species
GGCAGAGGGUGCAACCGUUGUUCGGAAUUACUGGGCGUAAAGCGCGUGUAGGCGGCAGGGCGUGUCGGAUGUGAAAUCCCGUGGCUCAACCACGGAAGUGCACCCGAAACUGCCCAGCUUGAGUCUCGGAGAGGAAGGCGGAAUGCUUGGUGUAGAGGUGAAAUUCGUAGAUAUCAAGCGGAACACCGGUGGCGAAGGCGGCCUUCUGGACGAUGACUGACGCUGAGACGCGAAAGCGUGGGGAGCAAACAGG